UACAGAGGGUGCAAGCGUUAAUCGGAAUUACUGGGCGUAAAGCGUGCGUAGGUGGUUAGCUAAGUCAGAUGUGAAAGCCCCGGGCUUAACCUGGGAAUUGCAUUUGAUACUGGCUAGCUAGAGUUUGGUAGAGGGAAGUGGAAUUCCAGGUGUAGCGGUGAAAUGCGUAGAUAUCUGGAGGAACACCGGUGGCGAAGGCGGCGCUCUGGGCCGGAACUGACGCUGAGGAGCGAAAGCGUGGGGAGCAAACAGG
rnacentral:rRNA from 1 species